rnacentral:snRNA from 1 species
ACCGGCUGGGGCCAGUACAAAUAAACAAUCCCCUCGCCUUUUACUAGGGGAUUCCGUGUACUAGCCCUGCUGCAAAGCCGAUCAGCAAUUUCUUGACACACUGCUUCAUCUUGAAGCU